CCUACGGGAGGCAGCAGUGGGGAAUAUUGGACAAUGGGGGCAACCCUGAUCCAGCAAUGCCGCGUGUGUGAAGAAGGCCUGAGGGUUGUAAAGCACUUUCGUUGGGGAGGAAAGGCUCGGUGCUAAUAUCACCGAGAGAUGACGCUACCCAAAUAAGAAGCACCGGCUAACUCUGUGCCAGCAGCCGCGGUAAUACAGAGGGUGCGAGCGUUAAUCGGAAUUACUGGGCGUAAAGCGUGCGUAGGUUGGUAGAUGUGUUGACUGUGAAAUCCCCGAGCUCAACUUGGGGCGGUCAGUCAAAACUGUCUAUCUAGAGUAUGGUAGAGGAAAGUGGAAUUUCAGGUGUAGCGGUGAAAUGCGUAGAUAUCUGAAGGAACACCGAGUGGCGAAGGCGACUUUCUGGACUAAUACUGACACUGAGGCACGAAAGCGUGGGGAGCAAACAGGAUUAGAUACCCUGGUAGUCCACGCCGUAAACGAUGAGAACUAGCUGUUGGGGGCCUUGGCUCUUAAGUGGCGCNGCACGACGUUAGUUACGUCCGCCGUGGGAGGUACGGCCGCGACGUAAACGUACGAAGAAGUAGACGCGNGAGACGUAGACGACGGACGACGACGAGGGAGGAGG
rnacentral:rRNA from 1 species